rnacentral:rRNA from 1 species
GGGGAAUAUUGGACAAUGGGGGCAACCCUGAUCCAGCCAUGCCGCGUGAGUGAUGAAGGCCUUAGGGUUGUAAAGCUCUUUCGCCCGCGAAGAUAAUGACUGUAGCGGGAGAAGAAGCCCCGGCUAACUUCGUGCCAGCAGCCGCGGUAAUACGAAGGGGGCUAGCGUUGUUCGGAAUCACUGGGCGUAAAGCGUACGUAGGCGGGCAAUUAAGUCAGGGGUGAAAGCCUUGAGCUCAACUCAAGAACUGCCUUUGAUACUGGUUGCCUGGAGUCCGGGAGAGGUGAGUGGAACUGCUAGUGUAGAGGUGAAAUUCGUAGAUAUUAGCAAGAACACCGGUGGCGAAGGCGGCUCACUGGCCCGGUACUGACGCUGAGGUACAAAAGCGUGGGGAGCAAAC